UCAUCCUCUAUUUUUACCAAGUGACAAUAGCAAUGGAGACACAUCCUUUUUUUUCUUUUGCUAAACAAAUUAGCAACUUGCUAUAACUCAAGAUUUGACAAGUGAAUUUUACCAAGUUGUUGGAGAUGCUCUAAGGGCCCUUAAAAUUAUAAAGCCGUCCUGACCACACGGCUUGCAAACUUUCAUGUUCAUGUCCAUACCCCUUUAAGCAUGCAUCCAUGCAUGACCCAUUUAGAAAUGCAGGUGCGUGCACGGUACUACUCUAAUUUUAGGAGAUAUUUAUUUUUAUUUUUAUUUACACAGGCGGAAGAUCUAUUUAUGAAGAUACCUAAUUAAUGAGUGCCUCG
rnacentral:lncRNA from 1 species